rnacentral:rRNA from 1 species
CGCGGGAUUAGAGUUUGAUCCUGGCUCAGGACGAACGCUGGCGGCGUGCUUAACACAUGCAAGUCGAACGGUGAAGCGAGUGCUUGCACUCGUGGAUCAGUGGCGAACGGGUGAGUAACACGUGAGUAACCUGCCCUCCACUCUGGGAUAAGCGCUGGAAACGGCGUCUAAUACUGGAUACGACCGACCCUCGCAUGGGGUGUUGGUGGAAAGAUUUAUCGGUGGUGGAUGGACUCGCGGCCUAUCAGCUUGUUGGUGGGGUAAUGGCCUACCAAGGCGACGACGGGUAGCCGGCCUGAGAGGGCGACCGGCCACACUGGGACUGAGACACGGCCCAGACUCCUACGGGAGGCAGCAGUGGGGAAUAUUGCACAAUGGGCGCAAGCCUGAUGCAGCGACGCCGCGUGAGGGAUGACGGCCUUCGGGUUGUAAACCUCUUUCAGCAGGGAAGAAGCUUUUGUGACGGUACCUGCAGAAGAAGCACCGGCUAACUACGUGCCAGCAGCCGCGGUAAUACGUAGGGUGCGUGCGUUGUCCGGAAUUAUUGGGCGUAAAGAGCUUGUAGGCGGUUUGUCGCGUCUGCUGUGAAAAUUCAGGGCUUAACCCUGGACGUGCAGUGGGUACGGGCAGACUAGAGUAUGGUAGGGGAGACUGGAAUUCCUGGUGUAGCGGUGGAAUGCGCAGAUAUCAGGAGGAACACCGAUGGCGAAGGCAGGUCUCUGGGCCAUUACUGACGCUGAGAAGCGAAAGCAUGGGGAGCGAACAGGAUUAGAUACCCUGGUAGUCCAUGCCGUAAACGUUGGGCGCUAGGCGUGGGUCUCAUUCCACGAGAUCCGUGUCGCAGCUAACGCAUUAAGCGCCCCG